rnacentral:antisense_RNA from 1 species
AAAACUUAAGUAAUGACGAGGUAUUUUAGAAGCUAGAUUUUAAUUUGACGUGUAAUGCGCAAUAAAUGCAAGAAAUAUUAAGAAACAUAAAUAAAAACAAAUGGUGGCCACGAUUGGACUUGAACCAACGACCACUACCA